rnacentral:rRNA from 1 species
AGCGAACGCUGGCGGCAGGCCUAACACAUGCAAGUCGAACGGAUCCUUCGGGAUUAGUGGCGGACGGGUGAGUAACACGUGGGAACGUGCCCUUUGGUUCGGAACAACUCAGGGAAACUUGAGCUAAUACCGGAUGUGCCCUUCGGGGGAAAGAUUUAUCGCCAUUGGAGCGGCCCGCGUCUGAUUAGCUAGUUGGUGAGGUAACGGCCCACCAAGGCGACGAUCAGUAGCUGGUCUGAGAGGAUGAUCAGCCACACUGGGACUGAGACACGGCCCAGACUCCUACGGGAGGCAGCAGUGGGGAAUCUUGCGCAAUGGGCGAAAGCCUGACGCAGCCAUGCCGCGUGAAUGAUGGAGGUCUUAGGAUUGUAAAAUUCUUUCAGCGGGGACGAUAAUGACGGUACCCGCAGAAGAAGCUCCGGCUAACUUCGUG